UCCCUGGUAGUCCAGUGGUUAGGACUCUGCACUUUUACUGCCAAGGACCCAGGUUCAAUCCCUGGUCAAGGAA
rnacentral:tRNA from 1 species